rnacentral:rRNA from 1 species
GUAAAUAAUAAAGGGCGUAUGGUGGAUGCCUAGGCUCUCAGAGGCGAUGAAGGACGUGAUAAGCUGCGAAAAGCUCCGUUUAGGUGCAAAUAACCUUUGAUGCGGAGAUCUCCGAAUGGGAUAACCCAAUAUGUUGAAGACAUAUUAUACCGUAAGGUAGGCAAACGCAGGGAACUGAAACAUCUAAGUACCUGCAGGAGAAGAAAACAAACGUGAUUCCCCCAGUAGCGGCGAGCGACCGGGGAUAAGCCCAAACCGUUAUUGUUUCGGCAGUAGCGGGGUAGUAGGACUGCGACAUUGAUGAAAUAAAUGAAAUGGAACACCUUGGAAAAUGUGAUCACAGAGGGUGAUAAUCCCGUACAUGUAAGUUUAUGAAUCAUAGCAGACUCCUGAGUAAGUCGGGACACGUGUAAUCCUGACCGAAUCCGCCGGGACCAUCCGGCAAGGCUAAAUACUCCUGAGAGACCGAUAGUGAACCAGUACCGUGAGGGAAAGGUGAAAAGCACUUCGAACAGAAGAGUGAAAUAGUCCCUGAACCCAUACGCCUACAAGCAGUCGGAGCCGCUUCGUGCGGUGACGGCGUGCCUUUUGCAUAAUGAGCCUACGAGUUACUCAUCACCAGCGAGGUUAAGUACUUCAGGUACGUAAGCCGAAGCGAAAGCGAGUCUGAAUAGGGCGUCAAGUUGGUGGUGGUAGACGCGAAACCUUAGUGAUCUACCCAUGGGCAGGGUGAAGGUUUGGUAACACAAACUGGAGGCCCGAACCGGUAAACGUUGAAAAGUUUUCGGAUGACCUGUGGGUAGGGGUGAAAGGCCAAUCAAACUGGGAAAUAGCUCGUACUCUCCGAAAUGCAUUUAGGUGCAGCCUCUGUUGUUUUGUUCUAGAGGUAGAGCUACUGAUUGGAUGCGAGGGCUUCACCGCCUAUCAAAUCCGGCCAAACUCCGAAUGCUAGAACAUAAAGACAGGGAGUGAGCCAGCGGGUGCUAAGGUCCGUUGACGAAAGAGGGAGAACUCAGACCAUCAGCUAAGGUCCCCAAUUAUAUGCUAAGUUGGAAUAAAAACGGGGUGGGACUGCUUAGACAGCUAGGAUGUUGGCUUGGAAGCAGCCAUUCAUUUAAAGAGUGCGUAACAGCUCACUAGUCGAGCGGUCCUGCAUGGAUAAUACGCGGGCAUAAGCAUAUAACCGAAGCUAUGGGAUUGUAGAUGAUACAAUCGGUAGGAGAGCAUUCCAUUCAGCAUAGAAGCAGUAUCGUGAGGUAUUGUGGAGCGGAUGGAAAAGCAAAUGUAGGCAUAAGUAACGAUAAUGCGGGUGAGAACCCCGCACGCCGAAAGAUCAAGGAUUCCCCGGCAAUGUCAAUCAUCCGGGGGUAAGUCGGAUCCUAAGGGUAAGCCGAGUGGCGAUCCCGAUGGUAAACAGGUUAAUAUUCCUGUACUGAUCAUAACUGCGAUGCAGCGACGCAGAGGUGACACUGCUGCGUACUGACGGAAUAGUACGUUGAAACCCGUAUUCUUUGAUACCGGUAGUGAAGCACGCCGGUAGAGAUGAAAGGUGAUAGUACCGCAAUGCUUCGGUUGCGCGGAUAACGCAGGUAAGCUGACUGCCAAGAAAACCUGCUAAGCUUCAGGUAAUGAUCAUCCGUACUGUAAACGGACACACGUGAUCAGGUAGAAAAUACUAAGGCGCUCGAGAGAUUCAUGGUUAAGGAACUAGGCAAAAUGGUCCUGUAACUUCGGGAUAAAGGACGCUCUUGUGAAAGAGCCGCAGAUAAUAGGCCCAGGCGACUGUUUACCAAAAACACAUGGCUAUGCUAAUUCGCAAGAAGAUGUAUAUGGCCUGACACCUGCCCGGUGCCGGAAGGUUAAGAGGAGAGCUCAGAGGUAACUCGAAGGUUUGAAUUGAAGCCCCGGUAAACGGCGGCCGUAACUAUAACGGUCCUAAGGUAGCGAAAUUCCUUGUCGGGUAAGUUCCGACCUGCACGAAUGGUGUAACGAUCUGGGUACUGUCUCAACCAUGAGCUCGGUGAAAUUGUAGUUCCGGUGAAGAUGCCGGAUACCCGCAACGGGACGGAAAGACCCCGUGAACCUUUACUGCAGCUUUGCAUUGAUUUUGGGUAACAGAUGUGUAGGAUAGGUCGGAGGCUUUGAUGCUGCGUCGUCAGGCGUAGAGUAGCCGUCGUUGAAAUACGACCCUUUUGUUAUCUGAGGUCUAAUCCCGUUAGGGAGACAUUGCAUGGUGGGUAGUUUGACUGGGGUGGUCGCCUCCAAAAGUGUAACGGAGGCUUCUAA